GCCCUCAUCGUCUAGCGGCUAGGACAUCGCCCUCUCAAGGCGGAAACAGGGGUUCGAUUCCCCUUGAGGGUA
rnacentral:tRNA from 1 species